ACUCUGACUUGGCUCUUUAAGUUAUAUAUUUCCAAGUUGCUUAAUUUUUGCAGAAUCAUCAUCCUUGGAGAUAAAAUUAGAGUGUUAAUCAUAAUCCAACACUCUUACCCCUCCUGGCAUAGUUCAUGGGGGUAUUGCUCAGAUAGGGCAUAAGCUAUGGGUGGGGUGGGAGAAGUGGUGGUAUAGUAUCUGGUAGGACCAGUACUCAGAAAAAAAAAAAAAACAGAAAAAGGAUCAAGCCAUGAACUCUGAUGUGAGUCUGGCGGGAAUAACAGCAUAAACAGAAAAGCGGCCAUCCACAAGGAGAGAAAGGGCAGAGGCUUCACCUUACCUUUACAGCCACACUUCUUGCAAGUAGUGUUCAAGACAGCCUCAAGGGUGAUCUUCUGCCCAGUGUAAUCCUGGAAGGACCGCCUCCGCCUCUCUUCUUGCCUAUAAUUAAAAAGAUACUGACUUCUGGCCCCCUUAAGAGAUAUGGCCAGAGAUACUACAAGGUAUCUCUCUCCUGGAUAAAUAUGACAAGUCUAAAAGCAUUAACAGUGAAAAACUAGGCUGGGCGUGGUGGCUCAAGCCUGUAAUCCCAGCACUUUGGGAGGCCGAGGCGGGUGGAUCACGAGGUCAAAA